UACAGAGGUCUCAAGCGUUGUUCGGAUUCAUUGGGCGUAAAGGGUGCGUAGGUGGCGCCGUAAGUCAGGUGUGAAAUUUCGGAGCUUAACUCCGAAACUGCAUUUGAUACUGCGGUGCUUGAGGACUGGAGAGGGAAGCGGAAUUUCUGGUGUAGCAGUGAAAUGCGUAGAUAUCAGAAGGAACAUCAGUGGCGAAGGCG
rnacentral:rRNA from 1 species